rnacentral:rRNA from 1 species
GAUGAACGCUGGCGGCAGGCUUAAUACAUGCAAGUCGAACGGUAACAGUACUAGCAAUAGUAGCUGACGAGUGGCGCACGGGUGCGUAACGCGUAUGCAACCUACCCAUAAUUGGAACAUAACGUUGAGAAAUUAGCGCUAAUAUUCCAUGUGAAUAUGAUAAGGCAUCUUAUUAUAUUUAAAGAUUCAUUGAUUAUGGAUGGGCAUGCGUAUCAUUAGCUAGUUGGUGAGGUAACGGCUCACCAAGGCGACGAUGAUUAGGGGUUCUGAGAGGAUUUCCCCCCAACUGGAACUGAGACACGGUCCAGACUCCUACGGGAGGCAGCAGUAGGGAAUAUUGGGCAAUGGAAGCAAUUCUGACCCAGCCAUGCCGCGUGAAGGAAUACAGCCCUAUGGGUUUUAAACUUCUUUUAUAUAGAGUAAACGGGGUACGUGUACCUCCCUGCAAGUAUAUGAUGAAUAAGGUCGGCUAACUCGUGCC